CUCCCAACCUUCUUCCGGAAGUGGAGCUUCCACUCCGAAUUGCCGCUCUGCCCCGUAGCUCGGGGGGGGGGCGCUUUCGGAAAGGGGAGGGAGGAGGCAGGGGACCCCCCCCGGUGGAUGUUGCAGGAAAGGAGAAUCGGGAGCGAGGAGAAAGAGGGCUUGACUUCAGGUGCAGCAGAAUUCCCCAGCCCCCCAAGGAUUUGAGACCCAUCAGCUUUCCUCACCUGGUUUUGCCAGCCGGUUGAAGCCAUUCCUGGGAUUGUGGCCCCUGAUUCAUCCUGACAGCUUCUGGAAGGCACAGGAUUUCCUUUCCUCCCACUCUGAAGAAGGUGAUGGAGAAGACAUUCAGGAUUCCAGGGGAUGGGGCACCUUUCGUUUCAUGAGGAAUAGAAAUUAAAAUGUGUGAAAUGUGGGAUAUGCUUCAUUGAAUGAGGACACAUAGCUCACAUCAAUGACUCCGAGAGGAGAAACCAUUUAAAAGUAUGGAAUGUGGGAAACGUUUCGCUGAGAGUGGAAAA